GGAUUACUUGGAGCGAUUAACUGGACGGCCCAGCAAGCCGUCGCUGGCAUGGCUCGCACUGCUGCGAGUGUGCAACUCAUUGUGAUCCA
rnacentral:tRNA from 1 species